CCCCCCUCUUUUUCUUUUUUGUUUAUCAGUUUUCCCCCCAUUCCUCUCUCGCAAAACACAGCGCCCCUUCUCCUCUUUCAGCUCGUUCUUCUCUUUCAGUGCCGCCACCGACAUCACCCACAUUCUCCUCCAAGCAAUUGUCAAUGCCGCCAGCAUCGCUUCGAGUAUUAUUCGAUUAUUUCUCCAAUUUUUUUAUUUUAUUUUCAAUUAGACAUGGACAAGAUUUGAUUGGCACUACGUAGCACAGUUGAUGGAAGGAUAAGUCGGCCAUAUUGUAAUGGGGUAAUAUUAUUCCUUGAUGUCAUUACAUGACAAUGUGGAGACCCAACACUCACAGCAUCUUGAUGUCAAUGUAGAGGCAACCCCCAAUCUAGUAUCGAUUGGUUUUUGAUGAUGUUUGGAAGCAUACUAGCAAAUCAAGAUCAAUUGUUGAUUUUUUUUUAUUUUUUAUUUUUUAUUUUUUUGAACUAAUGCUUCGUCCUAGUUGCAAAUCAAGAUCGAGGAUUGAUUUUUUUUGUGGACCCCAUGUUAGUUCAUUUUGGGAUUUGCUAUGAUGGUUUUUUGGUUAUACUUAAUAAAUUAUUAUUAAAUUUGUUUGAUGGAUA